GGGGGCUUAGCUCAGUUGGGAGAGCACCUGCCUUGCAAGCAGGGGGUCGAGAGUUCGAAUCUCUUAGUCUCCAC
rnacentral:tRNA from 1 species